rnacentral:rRNA from 1 species
UACGUAGGGCGCAAGCGUUGUCCGGAAUUAUUGGGCGUAAAGAGCUCGUAGGCGGCCUGUUGCGUCCGCUGUGAAAUCCCAGGGCUCAACCCCGGGCCUGCAGUGGAUACGGGCUGGCUAGAGGCAGGCAGGGGAGAACGGAAUUCCUGGUGUAGCGGUGAAAUGCGCAGAUAUCAGGAGGAACACCGGUGGCGAAGGCGGUUCUCUGGGCCUGUACUGACGCUGAGGAGCGAAAGCGUGGGGAGCGAACAGG